GCCUACAUGAAGCUGGAAUCGCUAGUAAUCGCGGAUCAGCAUGCCGCGGUGAAUACGUUCCCGGGCCUUGUACACACCGCCCGUCACACCACGAGAGUUUGUAACACCCGAAGUCGGUGGGGUAACCGUUUUGGAGCCAGCCGCCUAAGGUGGGACAGAUGAUUGGGGUGAAGUCGUAACAAGGUAGCCGUAUCGGAAGGUGCGGCUGGAUCACCUCCUUUCUAUGGAGA
rnacentral:rRNA from 1 species